rnacentral:rRNA from 1 species
UACGUAGGGGCAAGCGUUGUCCGGAAUCAUUGGGCGUAAAGCGCGUGUAGGCGGCCCGAUAAGUCCGCUGUGAAAGUCCAGGGCUCAACCCUGGGAUGCCGGUGGAUACUGUCGGGCUCGAGUCCGGAAGAGGCGAGUGGAAUUCCUGGUGUAGCGGUGAAAUGCGUAGAUAUCUGGAGGAACACCGGUGGCGAAGGCGGCAUCCUGGACCGGUAUUGACGCUGAGGCGCGAAAGCCAGGGGAGCAAACGGG